AGUGAACGCUGGCGGUAGGCCUAACACAUGCAAGUCGAACGGCAGCACAGUAAGAGCUUGCUCUUACGGGUGGCGAGUGGCGGACGGGUGAGGAAUACAUCGGAAUCUACUUUUUCGUGGGGGAUAACGUAGGGACACUUACGCUAAUACUGCAUACGACCUACGGGUGAAAGCAGGGGAUCUUCGGACCUUGCGCGAUUGAAUGAGCCGAUGUCGGAUUAGCUAGUUGGCGGGGUAAAGGCCCACCAAGGCGACGAUCCGUAGCUGGUCUGAGAGGAUGAUCAGCCACACUGGAACUGAGACACGGUCCAGACUCCUACGGGAGGCAGCAGUGGGGAAUAUUGGACAAUGGGCGCAAGCCUGAUCCAGACAUGCCGCGUGGGUGAAGAAGGCCUUCGGGUUGUAAAGCCCUUUUGUUGGGAAAGAAAAGCAGCAGGUUAAUACCCCGCUGUUCUGACGGUACCCAAAGAAUAAGCACCGGCUAACUUCGUG
rnacentral:rRNA from 1 species